GAGAUUGAAGAAAAAACGUUUAAAACACAUGUUUGCUUAUAUUCUGUGACAAUAACAGCUUUUAUUUUUGUGAAUAAGAAGUUAAUGAUGUAAUACUUUAAGAAUAAACCUUAUCAUACAUUGAAAACAUAAACUUAGGUUUUAAAAUGUCUGCCAUAUUGGCAGAUUCAUGUAAAUGCUACUUGUGGUCAAUACUGGCAUAUACGUAAUUUACUACAGUUUAUUCUGUUUCGGCAAGGAGCUUUCAGAAUGCAAAGGUACAAAGUAUGCAAAACUCUGUGUAUUCCAGUACGGAAUCUAGUUUGUCGUCAGUGUAAUGAACACUUGGGUUACAUGACAAGAGAGAAUUUCAGCUGCUCUGGAAGUGUAACUUUCCAGGUCUUACCUUAUCGCUUCAAUAGUCUACAACUGAUCGCCGUGGGGUAUGAUGCUGGAUCACAGACUGUCCAAAUCCUUGGUCCAUCUACGGGACACGAUCGUAUCGAAGGAUGCGAAAUCAGGGUUUCAGGUGUAAAGUUGUAAGGUCUACAGUUCACAUUAAAGCACUGUUUCCUCAACCGUAGAUGUCAGAUGAAGAUGGAUGUCUUCUGGGUUGUUGCACUGUGUAGCCUGGUAGAAGUUUAUCAGCAUUCCGGAGGUCCCUCCUGCCUCCAUCAAGAUUACAGAACACAAAAGACUUGAGACUGGAGAAUCUGCGAUCAGCAGUAGCUGAAAACUAAAGCUACCAGACAUGGCAAUAACUUUGUCAAAACAGAAGUCGUGCGUUCUUUUUAAAAAAAAUAAAGCACAAUAAUUUGCGUAAUGCGAAUGUUACACAAUUCUAGUUUCUGUAGAACAGCAUGAAUGUAUGAAUGAUUGUUUUACAUUAAUAUAACUAAAAAUGGGAGAUGUGCAAUUUAUGCAAUAAAAUGCACUGACCUUUGUAAAAACAAUAAAUCUUAAGUCAUUAA